UUAAUUUUUCAAAAUUUUUAGAGGAGUCAGAUUACAUCAGCAGCUGUUGAACCCACAGAUGAUGAGUGUGAUUUUCCUUCUGAUACAGAAAAAGAUGAAGAUGAUCUUUGUGAUGACAUGAAAAAGAAGACUGCUUUGGAAGAUAAAGCUGAUGAAAUUAAUGAAGGAAAAGAUGAAAAUGAAAAUAUCAACGGGAUCCCAGAAUUUUGGUUAACAAUUUUUAAAAAUGUAGAAAUGUUAGCUGAAA